AAUGAUUCUUGCCACUAAUUGAAAUUAAGCAAACAAUUCAAAUAAAAUGUAUUUAAAAACGUAUAAAAUAACUAUUAUUAUUCCAAAUUACUUUUAUACAACAUGAAUGAAAUGGAUUCAAGACCAACCUGAUCAAAUUACAUAAACUAUACUUAAUUCAUUGCCAUAAGGCGCAAAUGCAAGUGUUGCGCAUGCUCAUUAGAGUCUGGAGUCAAAUAACAACAACUGAAGGCGGCAAACUGGCAACGGUGAUCUACUGUCUGACUCAGCGAAAAGGAGGAUUUGGAUGCAUAGAUGUGGAUGUUUUCAAGAAACCUCAUAAUUUUGGGACAAUAACUCAAUUACGAUUUGUGGCAACGUAAAGUGUGUGGAAGAAGUAUCGCUGAAGUAUCCGGUAUGUUUAAGUAAUUGAAACAUUCUUAAACAUUGACAUUUUGAGAAGAGAUUCAGGCAACUUGUUCACAGUAAAUGAAGUAAGUGUUGUCAUUAUUUACAUUAAGACAUUUUUUGUAAAUUACAAUAAUUUCCUCUACAGUAGGCCUCUAUCUCUUCCAUCUUCCCUUUCCUUUUUUCCUCUCAGAUAAAAGCAGAAUUUAUGUGGAUAAAGACUGUGCCACUUCUGUCACGGUUCAUAGCAGCUGGACAGAUGCAAGUUGUGUGCGAAGACAUACACAUCAAACGAGACUGUGUCAUAAAGAGUCUGUGUGUGUUUCUCAAUGGGGACAUUACAACACUUGUCAAAGAAUUCCAGGACUGCAAUCCUGAAGGAGAUGAGGGAGGAAUUUCUGAGACCACUCUGGGCCUUUUUGUGACCCUUAAAGUGCUGAGUACUAGCCAGACGAUGUUGGAGUAGCAACAGAGGGUGUAAAACUGCUACAACACUUCAGAGUUUUUCCUUUGGAUUAAUAAUGCUGUUCAGAUUGAUCUACUCACUCAAGCUAUGCUCAGAGUCUCAAAUUCACAUUUGAAUUCUUCCAGAAGGUAAUGAUGAAUUUGGACUUUAGGACAUCACACAGAUGUUUCCAUCCCCUGGAAGGACAUUGAAAACUUUUAAACUUGUUCUGUAAUGUUGAUUUGAAGACAGUACGAUCGAUGACACUAUGAACCGAUGACACUAACUCAAACUGCACCUAAUGCACCUUCUGGCUUCCUAUCUGAUACAUUUAAACACAUUUAAUUUUUUGUUCACCAAAACAUGAACAUUCUGUCAUUAAUUACUCACCCUCAUGUCGUUCCACACCCGUAAGACCUUCGUUCAUCUUCAGAACACAAAUUAGGAUAUUUUUGAUGAAAUCCAUGAGCUAUCUGGCCUCCGAUAGACUGCAACACAACUAUCACUUUCAAGGUCCAGAAAGGUAGUGAAGACAUCAUUAAAAUAGUCAACAUGACUACAGUGGUUCAACCUUAAUAGUAUGAAGCGACGAGAAUACUUUUUGUGCGCAAAACAAUAAAAAAAAAAAAAGACUUUAUUCAAAAAUGUGUUCCCUUUUAUGUCAGUCUCCUACGCAGUUGAUGUUGUACACACAAAAUAUCUUAAUUUGUGUUUUGAAGAUGAACAAAGGUCUUAGGGGUUUGGAGCAACAUGAGGGUGAGUAAUUAAUGGCAGAAAUUUCAUUUUUGGGCGAAUAAACCCUUUGAAAAGAUGUUAGCCCUUGUGCUAUUCCUUGUCCAGGAAGUUAACUUGUGAGUAGCACACUUGGGCUACUGAAUGCCUAAAUGCUGAAAUUUGACGGACAACAAAAAACCUGUUAUAUGUAAAGUAAAUUAUAAUCCUUCAGAUUUUCUUCUUUUUUACCCCCAAGUGUCCUGAUUGUUUGAACAAAUGUUUACAAGGAAUGUAACCAUUUACAGAUCUGUAUCAAGUUUUAGAUGAGUGAAAGCACAAACUGAUGACAAUACUAUGCAGUGAGAUCCCAAUAUUACCUUGAAAUUGUGAAAAUAAUGUUUGAUGUUGAAAUUUGGUUCCAUGUUGAUCUAUGAACUUGUUGGCACACAGCCAUAACCAUUGUGUUAGUUUGGGAGAAGGCACAAAACUGCAGUAAACAGUUGCCUUAAUUUGUGAAAUAC